UACAGUCAAAUCACGCUGAAAACGCCGGUUCCUGUUUGAUCAGCAAAGUUAAGUAGCGUCGAGCCUGGUCAGUAUUUAAAUAGGGGACCGCUUGGGAACACCGGUACUGUAA